AACAUUGAUAAUUUAACUAAAAGAUUGGCUUCAUGCUGAGCAUCAUUAUACUCAAAGGUAUGGAUAUAAUAAUAAGUAUGGCAUUUCCUCUAAUUAGUCAAGUUUUCAUGGACUUUUUUAUGACAAAUAGUUGUAUGUGUUAUAAGUAACUUAUAGCGGAUACAAAUUUUGUUAUAAGAAUAUCCACUCUUUAUCGUACAUCUAAAGAUUGGCUUCAUGCUAAGCAUCAUUAUACUCAAAGGUAUGGAUAUAAUAAUAAGUAUGGCAUUUCCUCUAAUUAGUCAAGUUUUCAUGGAUUUUUUUAUGACAAAUAGUUGUAUGUGUUAUAAGUAACUUAUAGCGGAUACAAAUUUUUGUUAUAAGAAUAUCCACUCUUUAUCGUACAUCUAAACUAAUCCAUGAAAUGAGCAAGGUCAAAGUGAUAAAACCUUAAAAAGCAGUAAGAUUCUAAAAAUACUUUUAAGGGGAUUUUUGUUAUCUUAUCUAUUAAAAGGAAAUAAUAAUUAAAAGAGAUAGAUAUAACUAGUAGAGUAGAGGGAUGGGUAUCUUCAAAAUCAAAUUGGAGA
rnacentral:lncRNA from 1 species